rnacentral:tRNA from 1 species
CCUGGUAGUUCAGACGGUAAAGCCUCUGCCUGCAAUGCGGAAGACCCGGGUUCGAUUCCUGGGUCAGGA